CACCGGCAGCUCAAGUGGUGGCCGCUUUUAUUGGGCCUAAAGCGUUCGUAGCUGGUUUGAUAAGUCUCUGGUGAAAUCCCAUAGCUUAACUGUGGGAAUUGCUGGAGAUACUAUCAGGCUUGAGGUCGGGAGAGGUUAGAGGUACUCCCAGGGUAGGGGUGAAAUCCUAUAAUCCUGGGAGGACCACCUGUGGCGAAGGCGUCUAACUGGAACGAACCUGACAGUGAGUAACGAAAGCCAGGGGC
rnacentral:rRNA from 1 species